GGGGGCGACCUGGCUUCGACGGGGGUUGCGAAACUUGAGGUGCAUGCCGAGCACGUGGAAUGACUCGUUAAUCCAUCUACAAAUUAUAGUUGCCAACGACGACAACUACGCACUAGCAGCUUAAGAACCUGCGAAUGCCGUCAGACUGGAGCCGUGCUUAUGCGUCCAGACCCUGGCGUCGCUCUCAUAAGAUCGCGCGCAAAGCUUGUUUGGGGUAGAGCCGCUAAAAACUCACCAAAAUCGCUGUUUGUUUUCCCUGUUUGGCGGGUAGCAUUUAGCUAAACUUAAAGCCAAAAUAAGCAUGUAGAGCCAACGGCAGAGGACUCUCGGACGCGGGUUCGAUUCCCGCCGCCUCCACCA
rnacentral:tmRNA from 1 species